ACAGAUAAUGAAUCAGUGCUGGAGGUUCUGGGAGCGAUGGUCAUGAGCUGCCAAAUACUGCAUCUACGUUUCUGGAGGGAUGUUCACCAUGGUCUCCUUUGCUGGAAAACUUGUUGCUUAUAAAAUCAUCUAUGUGCUGCUGUUCCUGCUCUGCCUGUGUCUCUAUCAGGUGUACUAUUCUCUAUGGAGGCGUCUCUUAAAGCUCUUCUGGUGGCUUGUUGUGGCCAACACCGUGCUGGUUCUGGUCUCCAUCUAUACUUACCAGUUUGAAGACUUUCCUGGAUACUGGAGAGACUUCACUGGCUUCACACAAGAACUCCUCCAAGAAAUGAAACCAACUUAUCACCUGAGGAGAUGAUGAAUUCAACUCUGUAUAAUGAGCCAGGGGACCCAGCCAAAUGGUUCGGCAUCAGGAAAGAUGCCACAGCGCUUGGAUACAUGAAGCUGACUUUGUGCUGUUGGUGCGUAUCCCAGCAGUGGAGAGUGUUUGUGUGUGAACACGUGGAGGAGCGGACGGUUCUGACAGGAGAGGACACAGACGACCCUGAUCCAGUGGAAGCCCGACUGUUUAAUCCUGUGUCUAACUUCAUCAGCUGCAGGUGAGUGCAGCAACCGUCAACUAGCCACUGACAAAACUGCUUCCUCGGCUCUCUAGUCUUUUUUCUGAUAUGUACACUAACCUAUAAGUUUGUAUUGCCAGUGUCCAAUACUCGUUCAGGUUAAAAUGCACUAUAGGUGAAAGUAGAGAUUAUGAGAGAAGCAAACAGUUGCAGAGGGCUGGCAACAGCUGUAAUAUUUGUGACAAGAACUGGAAAUAAGGGAUUAUUCACAUGGAAUACGACACUCAUCAAGAAACUUGAUAGGCUCUGUGCACAAGAGAUGACGUAUUUCUGCUGAAAUGUCAGGUUGGAUAUAUAUAUGUGUGUGUGUGUGUGUGGGUGUGUAUGUGUGUGUAUAUGUAUAUAUAUAUAUGUGUGUGUGUGUAUGUUGAUAUAUUUUCUACUGGUUGUGGUGUGUGACAUUAUUUGUUGUGUAUACUGUUAAUGAAAUCUGAGGCAUUUGUGAAUGGAAUUGAAAGUAGUAUUGUUGUGUUUAGGCAUGUGCUGCAUAUCUGCAUAAAAUGUUCUUAAAAGGAGUCUGCACAAACAGUUGGACCUGUAUUUUUAUUUUACAUCACUAUAGUGGUUAAAAAAACAACAACAGUCCACACAAAAGAAACUAGUGGUUAAUUAUGACAUUCCAGCUGACUCCGAGUCAAACUGGAAGUGAGAGUUAAGAUUUACACAUACAUACAUACACAUUGCCCAAGUCGUUUUUGACUGACUGUGUUUGUGUUUUUUUUUGUUUU